rnacentral:rRNA from 1 species
AGAGUUUGAUCCUGGCUCAGAUUGAACGCUGGCGGCAUGCCUUACACAUGCAAGUCGAACGGUAACAGGUCUUCGGAUGCUGACGAGUGGCGAACGGGUGAGUAAUACAUCGGAACGUGCCCGAUCGUGGGGGAUAACGAGGCGAAAGCUUUGCUAAUACCGCAUACGAUCUACGGAUGAAAGCGGGGGAUCUUCGGACCUCGCGCGGACGGAGCGGCCGAUGGCAGAUUAGGUAGUCGGUGGGAUAAAAGCUUACCAAGCCGACGAUCUGUAGCUGGUCUGAGAGGAUGAUCAGCCACACUGGGACUGAGACACGGCCCAGACUCCUACGGGAGGCAGCAGUGGGGAAUUUUGGACAAUGGGCGCAAGCCUGAUCCGGCCAUGCCGCGUGCAGGAUGAAGGCCUUCGGGUUGUAAACUGCUUUUGUACGGAACGAAAAGGUGCCUUCUAAUAAAGGGCGCUCAUGACGGUACCGUAAGAAUAAGCACCGGCUAACUACGUGCCAGCAGCCGCGGUAAUACGUAGGGUGCAAGCGUUAAUCGGAAUUACUGGGCGUAAAGCGUGCGCAGGCGGUUUUGUAAGACAGAGGUGAAAUCCCCGGGCUCAACCUGGGAACUGCCUUUGUGACUGCAAGGCUGGAGUGCGGCAGAGGGGGAUGGAAUUCCGCGUGUAGCAGUGAAAUGCGUAGAUAUGCGGAGGAACACCGAUGGCGAAGGCAAUCCCCUGGGCCUGCACUGACGCUCAUGCACGAAAGCGUGGGGAGCAAACAGGGAUUAGAUACCCUGGUAGUCCACGCCCCUAAACGAUGUCAACUGGUUGUUGGGGAUUAAUUUUCUCAGUAACGAAAGCNUAACGCGUGGAAGUUGGACCGCCUGGGGGANUACGGCGGCAAGGUUGAAAACUCAAAAGGAAAUUGACGGGGA